ACCCUCUCAGGAUCACACCUGGAGAGUUUCCAUACUCUACCAGUCUCGGCUAUGGGAGGGAGAGUCAAGCAGAGGCAAACUCAUUCCAUUCUUAGCUUGGGCAGUGGCUAGUGAGUGGAAGGCAAUCUGCUACAAAU
rnacentral:snoRNA from 1 species